GACGAACGCUGGCGGCGUGCUUAACACAUGCAAGUCGAACGGUGAAGCUCCAGCUUGCUGGAGUUGAUCAUUGGGGAACGGGUGAGUAACACGUGUGCAACCUGCACCUGACUCUGUGAUAUGCGCUGGAAACGGCGUCUAUUACUGGAUACGAGAAGGUCACCCAUGGGCACUUUCUGGAAAGUUUUUCGGUUGGGGAUGGGCUCGCGGCCUAUCAGCUUGCUUGUGAGGUUGGGGCGGACCAAGGCGACGACGGGUAGCCGGCCUGAGAGGGCGACCGGCCACACUGGGACUAAGACACGGCCCAGACUCCUACGGGAGGCAGCAGUGGGGAAUAUUACACAAUGGGCGAAAGCCUGAGGCAGCGACGCCGCGUGAGGGAUGACGGCCUUCGGGUUGUAAACCUCUUUCAGCAGGGAAGAAGCGAAAGUGACGGUACCUGCAGAAGAAGCACCGGCUAACUACGUG
rnacentral:rRNA from 1 species